rnacentral:rRNA from 1 species
AAACCAGCACCUCAAGUGGUCAGGAUGAUUAUUGGGCCUAAAGCAUCCGUAGCCUGUUCUGUAAGUUUUCGGUUAAAUCUGUAUGCUCAACAUACAGGCUGCCGGGAAUACUGCAGAACUAGGGAGUGGGAGAGGUAGACGGUACUCGGGAGGAAGUGGUAAAAUGCUUUGAUCUCUCGAUGACCACCUGUGGCGAAGGCGGUCUACCAGAACACGUCCGACGGUGAGGGAUGAAAGCUGGGGGAGCAAACCGGAUUAGAAACCCGAGUAGUCC